rnacentral:rRNA from 1 species
GACGUAGGGGCCAGCGUUGUUCGGAAUUACUGGGUGUAAAGGGUUCGUAGGCGGUGCGGCAAGUCGGGAGUGAAAUCUCUGGGCUCAACCCAGAGGCUGCUUCCGAAACUGCUGUGCUUGAGUGUGGGAGAGGCGCGUGGAAUUGCAGGUGUAGCGGUGAAAUGCGUAGAUAUCUGCAGGAACACCCGUGGCGAAAGCGGCGCGCUGGACCACUACUGACGCUGAAGAACGAAAGCUAGGGGAGCAAACAGG